GUGCUCACUUUGGCAGCACAUAUGUAUACCAAAAUUGGAGCAAUACAGAGAAGAUUAGCAUGGUCCCUGGGCCAGGAUGACAUGCAAAUUCAUGAAGCAUUAGAAAAAAAA
ensembl:snRNA U6 U6 spliceosomal RNA